rnacentral:tRNA from 1 species
GGAGCUCAGUGGUAGAGUGCUUGCCUUGCAUGCAUGAGGCCCUGGGUUCGAUUCCUCAGC